AUUAACGCGAAGAACCUUACCUACCCUUGACAUGUCCAGAAUCCUGCAGAGAUGCGGGAGUGCCCGAAAGGGAAUUGGAACACAGGUGCUGCAUGGCUGUCGUCAGCUCGUGUCGUGAGAUGUUGGGUUAAGUCCCGCAACGAGCGCAACCCUUAUCAUUAGUUGCUACGCAAGGGCACUCUAAUGAGACUGCCGGUGACAAACCGGAGGAAGGUGGGGAUGACGUCAAGUCCUCAUGGCCCUUAUGGGUAGGGCUUCACACGUCAUACAAUGGUCGGUACAGAGGGUUGCCAAGCCGCGAGGUGGAGCCAAUCCCAGAAAGCCGAUCGUAGUCCGGAUUGUUCUCUGCAACUCGAGAGCAUGAAGUCGGAAUCGCUAGUAAUCGCGGAUCAGCAUGUCGCGGUGAAUACGUUCCCGGGUCUUGUACACACCGAAU
rnacentral:rRNA from 1 species